CCUACGGGGGGCAGCAGUGGGGAAUAUUGGGCAAUGGGCGAAAGCCUGACCCAGCAACGCCGCGUGAAGGAAGAAGGCUUUCGGGUUGUAAACUUCUUUUAUCAGGGACGAAGCAAGUGACGGUACCUGAGGAAUAAGCGACGGCUAACGACGUGCCAGCAGCCGCGGUAAGACGGAGGUGGCAAGCGUUAUCCGGAUUUACUGGGUGUAAAGGGGGUGUAGGCGGGGACGCAAGUCAGAUGUGAAAACCACGGGCUCCACCCGUGGACUGGAUUUGAAACUGUGUUUCUUGAGUACUGGGGAGGCAGGCGGAAUUCCUAGUGUAGCGGUGAAAUGCGUAGAUAUUAGGAGGAACACCAGUGGCGAAGGCGGUCUGCUGGACAGCAACUGACGCUGAGGCGCGAAAGCGUGGGGAGCAAACAGGAUUAGAUACCCGUGUAGUC
rnacentral:rRNA from 1 species